CUCAGCUCAAAGGAACUGUCAUCAAAAUGUCUGGAGCAGAUCCGGUAUUUAGUGUGAUGUUUUUGGUCAGGUAUAAUAUCUAAAAUCUUUUUUCAAUAUUAUCAAGAUUUUGCCAUGCCUGCUCAAGCCACUUCCUGGCUAAAUGUCUAUUACUGGAAAAGACAUGAAGGGUUCCCAUUUCUUACUGGUCUGCCACGGCCCCGGUUGACUACGCAGCUCGGC